GACGAACGCUGGCGGCGUGCCUAAUACAUGCAAGUAGAACGCACAGUUUAUACCGUAGCUUGCUACACCAUAGACUGUGAGUUGCGAACGGGUGAGUAACGCGUAGGUAACCUGCCUGGUAGCGGGGGAUAACUAUUGGAAACGAUAGCUAAUACCGCAUAAUAUUAAUUAUUGCAUGAUAAUUUAUUGAAAGGUGCAAUUGCACCACUACCAGAUGGACCUGCGUUGUAUUAGCUAGUAGGUGAGGUAACGGCUCACCUAGGCGACGAUACAUAGCCGACCUGAGAGGGUGAUCGGCCACACUGGGACUGAGACACGGCCCAGACUCCUACGGGAGGCAGCAGUAGGGAAUCUUCGGCAAUGGACGAAAGUCUGACCGAGCAACGCCGCGUGAGUGAAGAAGGUUGUCGGAUCGUAAAGCUCUGUUGUAAGAGAAGAACGGGUGUGAGAGUGGAAAGUUCACACUGUGACGGUAUCUUACCAGAAAGGGACGGCUAACUACGUG
rnacentral:rRNA from 1 species